AUACCAUGGUGAGGGCAUCUCCUUAAUAAUUCCAUGAAUCACUCCCAUUCUUCAUAAAGAGAUUCCUCGUCCUAUUGAUUGAAAGAGGUAAUCUUAUUUCAAAGUUU